rnacentral:tRNA from 1 species
UCCCUCGUGGCGCAAUGGCUAGCGCGUUCGACUGUUAAAUAGUAAUUCUGCUUGCAAUCGAGAGGUUGGUGGUUCGACCCCACCCGAGGGAGU